UGUCAGUUAAUACAUUGUCCAUCAAGACGUCGUGAUAGUUCAAGUUAAGAUAACGUGACGUUUACAAAAUGUGUAGACAGAUAUUUGUCAUAUAGAAGAUUGUUCAUUUAAUACUCAAACCAGUCCUCAACUGAAGCAGACAUUCAUGCACCUAUCCUGACAGCUGAUCGAUAUUUGUGAUUAACUGUGAUCCACCGCAUCUUAACUCAAGUGUUUGUGUUUUAUUGUCAUUUGAAAGUUUCCACACUGUGAAAACUGAGUGAUCUGUGCCAACAGAAGGAGGAGCUCAUGUACAGAGCAGCACAUUAGUUUCCAUUCAUCUGGUUGAAGGGAGACUGCAUGGACAUCCUUAGUUCUCUAAUGUGCUGUGAUGAUGAUGAUGAUGAUGAUGGUAGAAAACCUCCCAGUUCAUCUUCCUCUGAUGAAAUGACAGACCAACUGCUGAUGAGUUUCUUUAUUAUUCUGUCUUCAGUGUUCACAGGUUCAGUGGCGCGUCAAGUCUGCCCUCAGUCCCACGAAGAAGAACAACGUCCGGUAGCACUUGAAGUUAGCAUCACAGAAACACAGGAGUGACUGAACCUCCUAAAAGACGAUAUUCAUCUGAGUCCCUAAGCACCGCUCCCGACAAGAAACCACGGUCAACGGCAAAGAAAAGAAGCAACAGAGUAAAUCUGGAUGUGUCUUCCCGCCGCUGGAGAAGCUCCUGAGAGGAAAGAGAUGCGGUUUGAUGCCGAGCUCGCAACUUUCCUGUUAGCCCGGAAUCCACCUCAGGCCAGACCUGAGGAAAGCAGCAGGAAAGGGUGACAAAGAAGCUGCUGCUGCUGUUUCUGAAACGGUUGCCUGGGUUACCAAUGUUGGUGUGUUGGCUCUCCAGGAUGGCGGCCGGAUUGAUGAUGCCACAUAUUCAAGGUGGACCCCCGGAGGUUCCUGUUUUCACAUUGAGGCAUAGCGGUCCUCGCUGGAGGGGAAGCACAGGAUGCUCAGCCUGACUGUUGCCAAGGUGAUCCAGAGGAUCUCCUGGGAGGAGUGGAGUCUCCACUGUUGGAGGAGGACACAUGGGGCGGAGGAGACGCUCCUCCUCAUCCAGGAUCUCCACGUCACCCUGGACGUCUCUUUGCUGGAUUCUCUCUGCAUCCAGGACACAUGGAGACACAGAGGAGCCUCACCUGCAUUCAGGACCCAGCAGGUGCAGCUGUACAGAGACUGGUAGACUGACAGAGGGCGGGGUCAGCCUUCUGGUUUCCACCUUCACCACUUCAUCCCAGCCAGUGCCAAGUACUUCCAAGCUCCUGACAACACCUGCCUGACAGAGCAGGAGGAAGAGCGAGUUGUCUUCCCUCCCAGAGACCAGGAGAGGCAGCGACAGGGAAGAACACCUCCUGUCCUUGGAAGGAGAGUCUCCAGAGCUGUCUUCUUGGACUGAACUCGGGCCCUGCAAACUGGGCCAGUGUUACCCGCCUGGUGGAGGCUGUUUGAAACCAGCUCUGCGUCUUCACCCGGUGGCCACGUGGUCCAGAGGGACCGUGAGGACUCGGUGGUCAUUCAGUCUCAAGGAUCAUGUGGCAUCAGAGAGGCAGUGCUGGCCAGCCCCAGGUUGAUGGCUCAGAUCAACAUCGAGCUCUUUGAAUUGAAUUGAGGACUCAGUGGUGCUGGCCAGACUCUCCCUUCAGCAAAGGGUCUGUCAUUUAUUCUUGCAGCUCACAUCAUGUGCUGUGGUGCAGUGGAUGGAUGGGCAUCGGUUGAGAAAACUAAGGUCAUCACAUGACUCACUGUCACAGGGUGAGGAGCUCUGGAGAGAGAUCAUCAGUUUCACCUGAACCUCAAGUUCUGUUAGUGAGUUAUAUGAUAAGUUUAUCGCACUACAGUGACUCACUGUCGCCUCUUGAGGAACAAAGUGGUGUUACAAGAUGAGACGGCCUGUUCAGGACAUCCAGCAGCAGUUACACAGUGAACCUUUCUAAGACAGUCUGCAGUCACUUAUUUCUGCCCCAUCACCAUUCUGUUCAAAGGAAGGCGUUUUAUUAAGCGUUGCUGUAUAGCCACAUUUAAACAUUUCUAUAAUUGUUGUUGUUGAUUAAAGUCAACAUAGGAAGUCUUGUGACUUCAUGUGUUGUGAUUUCUAUACUGUGCAGCUGCUACUGUUAAAAUUCACACCAGACACGCUCCAUAAAAACCAUCAGCAAAGCAAAGCUUCAUAAAAAACUGUAUUUCACAUUAAAACUGCAUUAAUUUCAACAAUUUACAAUCAACUGUAACUGACAAAUUAAAAAUAAAAGUUUGCAUAAUAAAGAGGUGGAUAAAUCUUAUUUAGUAACAAGUAUAAAUUAUAGUAGAGAUGUAAAAUAAUCCUUCAUAGCUCAGUGAGGACGGAGCAACAGUCUGACAGGUCGACUGGAAGCUGCUGCAGCCGUCCAUAAGUGAUGGAGGGAAGGAGCCGUUAUUCAUCAUCAGUCUUAGUGUUAGAAAAUGUUUUACACUGUGGUUUUACAGUUUAACGUUAGCACACAUGCUAACUUCAGCUACAAUAACAAGUUACUCCUCACAUAUAUGAUAUUAGCCUGUAAAACUAAUGUAACAGUUGUGACAGCUAACCGUGUUAGCAGCAUCUUCACACGGCUCAGCCAGGAGCCUGUUGAUGUGGGAGGAUGUACUUGGUGUCCUCGAGGUCACAGGUCAGAUCCCCCCCUCCCUCCUCCCCAGCUCCACCCUCUCAUCCAAAUAUGGUUUCUUCUGGCUCCAAAAAAACUAAGAUGGCGACGUCCAUUAAGACAAACUUGAAGCUUCAGAAGUUCACAAACCACCGUGUGACGUCUCGGCCGUUUGCCAUUUGGUUCACACCGAAACAUCAAACACUGAAAACAUUACUGUGAAGUUUCAUGCAGAUAUUCAUUGUCCCCAGGGGAUGAAUCCACAGGUCGUCAGUGCAGCAGGUUAUUAUGACCCAUAGUUACGUUUUUUGUUGCUAGGCGACAUCCAGUGGUCGUAGUAAUGAUGACAAGCGAAGGGAAAAGUGUCAGUGAUGUAGUAUAAAGAGAGACAGAGUCCACGUCAGCAGGAGGUGCUGAUGGCUGGAUGAAUGUGACAUCGAUUCCCAUGUGAAACCAGCUGUUUACGUUGUUUCUAUUAUCCAUGAGCGUAGUUUAACCGAGUUAUUAUUGUAACCAUGACAACCAAGGUGCGGUACGCCUGCUGCUGUAGGGGGCGCUGUUUCAGUCGACGGUCCUAUGGGCCAUAAAAAAGAUCUGCGAGUUGUUCAGGUCGGAGGAGCUCAACGUUUUCACUUCUCUACUUCCUCUAAAUUCAUUGAACAUAUAUUAGAAGCCAUUUAUUUUUUAGUUUACCUCUUCCUUUCGUGUCAUUGUCAGCUCAUAUUUGACUCUGUCCAGCUCUUUGGUUUAUGACCAUGAAUUUACUAAACUAAUGACAUUCCUCAGCUGUAUGUUGUUUAGUGCUAAUUAGCUAAUUGCUAACACAUUGAACUAAGCUGGUGAACACGGGAAAUAUUACUUCCUAACAGAAUGUUUACAUUGCUAUCAGUGUUAGCAUGUUAGCACCACUGUGCCUCAGUACAGUUUCAAAAAGCUGCUGUAGCGGUGAAGUAACGGGUCACAUUUACUUUUACUUUAACAAAGUCGUUUUGUUUGUUUGUUUGUUGUUUUGUUUUUUUUGUUGUGUAAUUGUAGUUUUUGGAGUAUUUAGAUAUUUGUUGACUCAAGUAUUUUACUCCAUACCUGAGUAAAGACAAAGGUCACGUGAUGAAGUCAUGAUGAACUGUGUGAGGAGAAGCUGCUGAUUGGAGGCACCGCCCGGCAGCCACGACGAGUGUCCCAAAUCAAACACACCUGCCACGUCACCUGACCAACAGGUGCAUUCUGGGUGUGGCUAACGCUAAAUGUUAAAAUACUGGCGGUGGAUCCUCCGGCUGAGUCUGAGUUAAGUUUUCCUUAAAAUAAAAACAGUUGAACAAAACACCUUUAAGUCUCAUCCUUAAGGUUUCCUUAAAAUGUUUAUGCUUAAAAGUUUUUAAGGUUUUCUCCUCAUCUUGGUUUACUUAAGAAAUCACUUAUUUAAACCGUUGCACAAAAGACUAGUGAUCUUUGCAUGUCUGAGUUUCUGUAGUUAAAUGAAGUAAAUUAAAACUUCCCAGGAAGAUGAUAAUGAUGACGAUGUCCCACGACCUGGAGACUCCCUUAACGACGCAGUAAAAUCUGUCACUGCUGCAAAUGCUUUAACUUCACUAAGGAAACCUUUUAAGAGAUUCUGUGCAACAUCCUUUAGUGACUCCAUCAUCUAAGGAGAAAUUAAAGCUUAAGUGCCACACUUCAGUAGGAAACGGCCAAAGAUGUUCUUUAAUUUAAUAGAUUUAUCUUGUUAUUGUUAUC